rnacentral:rRNA from 1 species
UACGUAGGGGGCUAGCGUUGUCCGGAAUCACUGGGCGUAAAGCGCGUGUAGGCGGUCCGAUAAGUUCGCCGUGAAAGUCGGGGGCUUAACCCUCGGAUGCCGGUGAAUACUGUCGGGCUUGAGUACGGAAGAGGCGAGUGGAAUUCCUGGUGUAGCGGUGAAAUGCGCAGAUAUCAGGAGGAACACCAAUUGCGAAGGCAGCUCGCUGGGACGUUACUGACGCUGAGACGCGAAAGCGUGGGGAGCAAACAGG